UACGAAGGGUGCAAGCGUUAAUCGGAAUUACUGGGCGUAAAGCGCGCGUAGGCGGUUUGGUCAGUUGGAUGUGAAAGCCCCGGGCUCAACCUGGGAACUGCAUCCAAUACUGCCAGGCUAGAGUACGGGAGAGGGGGGUAGAAUUCCACGUGUAGCGGUGAAAUGCGUAGAGAUGUGGAGGAAUACCGGUGGCGAAGGCGGCCCCCUGGAUCGAUACUGACGCUGAGGUGCGAAAGCGUGGGGAGCAAACAGG
rnacentral:sRNA from 1 species